rnacentral:rRNA from 1 species
UACGGAAGGCAGCAGUGGGGAAUAUUGCACAAUGGGCGCAAGCCUGAUGCAGCCAUGCCGCGUGUAUGAAAAAGGCCUUCGGGUUGUAAAGUACUUUCAGUCGUGAGGAAGGUGUUAAGGUUAAUAACCUUAGCAAUUGACGUUAGCGACAGAAGAAGCACCGGCUAACUCCGUGCCAGCAGCCGCGGUAAUACGGAGGGUGCGAGCGUUAAUCGGAAUUACUGGGCGUAAAGGGCACGCAGGCGGUUAAUAAGUUGGAUGUGAAUCCCCGGGCUUAACCUGGGAAUGGCAUUCAAGACUGGUUAGCUAGAGUCUUGUAGAGGGGGUAGAAUUCCAUGUGUAGCGGUGAAAUGCGUAGAGAUGUGGAGGAAUACCGGUGGCGAAGGCGGCCCCUGGACAAAGACUGACGCUCAUGUGCGAAAGCGUGGGGAGCGAAACAGGGAUUAGAUACC